rnacentral:tRNA from 1 species
GCCCACGUAGCUCAAUCGGUAGAGCAACGGUAUCGUAAACCGUAGGUUGUCGGUUCAACUCCGACCGUGGGCUCCA